UACGGAGGGUGCAAGCGUUAUCCGGAUUUACUGGGUUUAAAGGGUGUGUAGGCGGGCUUUUAAGUCAGUGGUGAAAUCUCCGGGCUCAACCUGGGAACUGCCAUUGAUACUAUUAGUCUUGAAUUUUGUUGAGGUAGGCGGAAUAAGUCAUGUAGCGGUGAAAUGCAUAGAUAUGACUUAGAACACCAAUUGCGAAGGCAGCUUGCUAAACAAAUAUUGACGCUGAGGCACGAAAGCGUGGGGAUCAAACAGG
rnacentral:rRNA from 1 species